CAGCAUCACUAAUCAUCAGGAAAAUGCAAAUCAGUACCAAUGUCCAACUGCAUGCAAGAACAGUCUAGAGAGACUAUGACAGCUCAAGUCACCAUAAAACCUGCCGUGGCCAUUCGCCUUUCCAAUAAUA